AGCCGUGCUAGCCAUCCUGACCACAGCUCCCAUCGGAGCGCUGGGGAUCGGACUGGCGGGACCACGCCUACUGGCCCGGCAGGUCAAAGCAGAUGACGCAGAAGGCGGAGCCCUGACUACAAGCACCAAUGGGACUGGUCGAGGAAAAGACAGCGUUACCCUGGAGACCAAACUAUGAGGCGUCUGAUUGGACAGAG